rnacentral:sRNA from 1 species
AAAAGAUAAAAAAAAGAUUGAGCCGAGUUUAUCUGUUGUAUAUACUAUUCUUUUUGAUAGAUACAUACACCCAAGAUAUUUUAUCUUGACAUGUGAUGAAGAGAUACGGAUUAUCCUCUGAACAAUAAUUUUCUAAAAAAAAAGAAGCAAA